UACGGGGGGGGCAAGCGUUUGUUCGGAAUUACUGGGCGUAAAGGCUCGUAGGUGGCCAACUAAGUCGGACGUGAAAUCCCUCGGCUUAACCGGGGAACUGCGUCUGAUACUGGAUGGCUUGAGUUUGGGAGAGGGAUGCGGAAUUCCAGGUGUAGCGGUGAAAUGCGUAGAUAUCUGGAGGAACACCGGUGGCGAAGGCGGCAUCCUGGACCAACACUGACACUGAGGAGCGAAAGCCAGGGGAGCAAACGGG
rnacentral:rRNA from 1 species